AGGAGCUCAGUAAAUACUUGAACGAAUGGCCUCUGGCCAGCACUGGGCAUCCUGAGACAAGCCUGUGCUCUGGGCACUCAAAUGGGUGGUGUGUGACUGAAGAGGUGACAAGAUGGCCUUUCUACAGGGAGGUGGGCUGACUGGUGCCCAGAUAGGGGAGGACCAGGUGUCUGCACCCCGACAGACUCACCCCAAGGGCCAGUGUCUGUGCCACAAACAGAAGGUCUCAGGGGCCAAAGCCGUGAAGCCACAGACCGCCCUGUGCUUCAGGGUCAUCCGGGCACUGUGCCUCCUCUGUGCUUUGGCUCCAUUUGGGGUCUUGGCGUGGGCAACAAUCUGGCAUUCCCCGCUGACUUCCCACUGGCUGGUGUCAGGGGUGGAGCAGAGGUGUUGACUGUCCCCGGGGAGGAGUCCCCCCCCCCCCCCCCUGCCCAGCUCAGCCCUGAAGCAUUGCAGCUGGGUGCCAGGCUGUGAUUACAGGCCCAGGCCAGGUCAGGCCAGCGUGCUCCCUACGACCAAGAUUGUCCCAGCCCGUGCUCUUGAAUCCUCUGGUGUGCUGACCUCUUCCCUACAGUUCCUGAGGUCAUUUUGUGCACAGCAAGAAUGACACCCCAAUGAGCACUGAAGACUGUUCUGAAGGAGUGACUCCUUUUUGUGGGCCAGGUGGGGACCAGCGCAGCGGACAGCACUUUGGGCCAGUGGCCCUGCUGACACGGAGCUGCAGGCAAAGGCAGACUUCGGAGGUGUGUCUGGACCCACCCUGUGGGGGAUGAUGGGGACCUCAAGUCUGAGGGCCAGGCAGCCCUGCUUCAGGACCUCUCUGGAAACAUUCUGGAAGACCCUGUCCUUCCUGCACUGCCACAGACCACUGCUUAGAAUGGGCAGCUUGAUGGGUCCAGCAUAUCCGCCAGGUGAGCCAGGUGGCAGCCCGGGCAGUAGUCUCAGGGUUCGUGGGGCCGACAGUGGGUGCAUUGCUGCAGCACCUCCACAAUGCUGGGUAGUCGGCAGAGGUGCCAGCAGGAGGUGGCCUGGAGAGGCCUGCCCCCAGAAAGCAGGAGAGGGAGGAAGAGAGUUAGCAGGCACAGGGCAGCCAGGGCUUGUUCCCUAGUACAUCUGACAUGUCCCCAGGGAACUGAACGGGUUUCUGCAGGCGGCUGGUAUCUGAGCAUAACAGAUGGGACAGGAGGAGCUAGCAGAGCUGGGCUUUUCUUGGCAAAGUGAUCCACUGGCCCCUGACGUUGGGUACGUGUGUGAUGCUGGGGCUGGGUGGGAGAGCACAGCAUGCAGCUCUCUCUCUCAGCUCCCACUCCUCCCCCAGGGAGGACUUAUCACAGCCUGGACACACAGCAGGAGAGGGCUUGGCCAAAUCCUUCCCUUUGUGCAGGGCUGGUGGGGGUGGUCAUGUAAGGUCCUAGGUGGUACCUUGAGACUGGGAGAAUUUUCUCCCCUCUCCAUAUGCUUUCAUUUCAUUUAAGCAGUUUCUCAGAAGUAGAAUUUCUGAGUAAUACAAAACAUGUAUGUUUAACUUGAUAAGAAACUAGCCAACUGCUUUCCAGAGUAGUUGUACUGUUUCACACUCCCAAGGAGGAGAAUUCAAAUAGCUUCCCAUACUCAUGGACACUUUGUACGGUCUUCAAAAUUAUAGCCAUUCUAGUGCAUAGAGUGGUAACAUCAUAGAUUCAGUCUGUAUUUCCCUGGUGAUUAGUACUUCAAGCAUCCUUUUGAGUGCACAUGGGCCGUUUGUAACCUUUUGUGAACUGUCUUUUCAAAGCCCUGUCCCAUUUUUUUUCCUGUCCCAUAUUGUUAUUUAGUUCUUUGUCCUAAGACUGAAUUAUGAGGGAUAUCCCUGGGUGGCUCAGCAGUUUAGCCCCUGCCUUCGGCCCAGGGUGUGAUCCUGGAGUCCAUCGGGCUCCUUGCAUGGAGCCUGCUUCUCUCUCUGCCUCUCUCUGUGUGUCUCUCAUGAAUAAAUAAAUUAAAUCUCAAAAAAAAAAAAAAGGC
rnacentral:lncRNA from 12 species